rnacentral:lncRNA from 1 species
UUUGCCCCCAGGUCCUGGGUUCCACUCACCUGGUGCAGGCAACAGCUUGCAUUACUGCUCAACUUCAGCGAGUGCUUUGUGAAGUGCCACACACUCACUUCUCAAGGAGAAAAGCAGCACUCAUUUAACCCACAUGCACCACAUCUUUCUUCAUAGGACUAAUAUCAUCCAGCAUUAAAAGAAUCUGGAAGAGCAAGGAGAUCGAUCCGCAGCGUGGUGAGGUUUUGGUGGCCGAGGUGGAGGAAUAUCUGGAAUAGUCUCCAAUUUUGAAGUCUGAGACAAUGUUCCUUCUGGAAAAGUUCGUGGAAUCUGAUAAGUACCUCCAGGUGUGGGGGGAAUGUCGUAACUAAUGGAGAUGUGCCUCAUCUGUGCGUCUAAUGACGAUGUUGCUGAUGGGGUAUUGAACACAUGCUGCUCGCCUUCUGCAUCAGUCCCAGUCGGAGACGCUGCCUUCGGUAAAACAUCUUGUGAGUAACUCCUAGGCAGGUUAUAAAGGCUGGAGUCUGCCAAUGGUAGUCCAGUACGAGAAGGCGGAGAGUCAUAGACACCUUGCUGCUGAAAAAAGCCAUUCACAGCUUGCUUGCUCAUGGAUGGAGCGGGGUUUUUGUGGGAGGGCACGUUAUCAUUGCAGUCUGUUUCAGAAGAGCUGGAUUUUGCAGAGUCAGCAUGAGAUCUACG